rnacentral:rRNA from 1 species
GUCUACGGCCAUGCCACCCUGUGCGUGCCUAAUCUCAUCUAAUCUCAGAAGCUAAGCAGGGUCGGGCCAGGUUAGUACUUGGAUGGGAGACAGGAAAAAUGAAAAAGGAUAUAUC